UACAGAGGUCUCAAGCGUUGUUCGGAUUCAUUGGGCGUAAAGGGUGCGUAGGUGGCGCGCUAAGUCAGGUGUGAAAUUUCGGAGCUUAACUCCGAAACUGCAUUUGAUACUGGCGUGCUUGAGGACUGGAGAGGAGACUGGAAUUCAUGGUGUAGCAGUGAAAUGCGUAGAGAUCAUGAGGAAGACCAGUGGCGAAGGCGGGUCUCUGGACAGUUCCUAACACUGAGGCACGAAGGCCAGGGGAGCAAACGGG
rnacentral:rRNA from 1 species